GGACUACAGGGGUAUCUAAUCCUGUUUGCUCCCCACGCUUUCGCACCUCAGCGUCAGUACCGGGCCAGUGAGCCGCCUUCGCCACUGGUGUUCUUGCGAAUAUCUACGAAUUUCACCUCUACACUCGCAAUUCCACUCACCUCUCCCGGACUCAAGAUCCCCAGUAUCAAGGGCAGUUCCGAGGUUGAGCCUCGGGAUUUCACCCCUGACUUAAGGAUCCGCCUACGUGCGCUUUACGCCCAGUGAUUCCGAACAACGCUAGCCCCCUUCGUAUUACCGCGGCGGCUGGCAC
rnacentral:rRNA from 1 species